GAAGAGGGAAGGAAGAUAGAAACACAAAUUGAUCGUGGGAGGAAUUUCAUCAAAUCAAAACCAUUCAUUCAUAUUGGAAGAUGAAAUGUAAAUUUCAUCCAUCCCCUAAAUCCAAUGGUUUUGAUCCAACAAAAGUCAAAUCAACCUUGACCAAGGCCCAAAUAGAAAGUUAAACAUCACAAGACCAUAAAAAUGGCUCAACAAUAUUUUUAA
rnacentral:lncRNA from 1 species